UACGGGGGGAGCAAGCGUUGUUCGGAUUUACUGGGCGUAAAGGGCGCGGUAGGCGGUCGUGACAAGUCACUUGUGAAAUCUCCGGGCUUAACUCGGAACGGUCAAGUGAUACUGUCGGACUAGAGUACAGAAGGGGCAACUGGAAUUCUCGGUGUAGCGGUGAAAUGCGCAGAUAUCAGGAGGAACACCGGUGGCGAAGGCGGAUCUCUGGGCCGUGUCCUGACGCUCGAGGCGCGAAAGCUAGGGGAGCAAACAGG
rnacentral:rRNA from 1 species